rnacentral:rRNA from 1 species
UUGAACGCUGGCGGCAGGCCUAACACAUGCAAGUCGAGCGGAUGAAGGGAGCUUGCUCCUGGAUUCAGCGGCGGACGGGUGAGUAAUGCCUAGGAAUCUGCCUGGUAGUGUGGGAUAACGUCCGGAAACGGGCGCUAAUACCGCAUACGUCCUGAGGGAGAAAGUGGGGGAUCUUCGGACCUCACGCUAUCAGAUGAGCCUAGGUCGGAUUAGCUAGUUGGUGGGGUAAAGGCCUACCAAGGCGACGAUCCGUAACUGGUCUGAGAGGAUGAUCAGUCACACUGGAACUGAGACACGGUCCAGACUCCUACGGGAGGCAGCAGUGGGGAAUAUUGGACAAUGGGCGAAAGCCUGAUCCAGCCAUGCCGCGUGUGUGAAGAAGGUCUUCGGAUUGUAAAGCACUUUAAGUUGGGAGGAAGGGCAGUAAGUUAAUACCUUGCUGUUUUGACGUUACCAACAGAAUAAGCACCGGCUAACUUCGUG